rnacentral:tRNA from 1 species
GAAAUGCGAGGUAUCAAGGAAAAGCUGCUAACUUUUUUCUUUAGCGGUUAAACUCCGUUUACAUUUCU